rnacentral:rRNA from 1 species
CCUACGGGUGGCAGCAGUGGGGAAUAUUGGGCAAUGGGCGCAAGCCUGACCCAGCAACGCCGCGUGAAGGAAGAAGGCUCUCGGGUUGUAAACUUCUUUUAUCAGGGACGAAGCAAGUGACGGUACUUGAUGAAUAAGCCACGGCUAACUACGUGCCAGCAGCCGCGGUAAUACGUAGGCGGCAAGCGUUAUCCGGAUUUACUGGGUGUAAAGGGCGUGUAGGCGGGAAAGGAAGUCAGAUGUGAAAACCAUGGGCUCAACCUGUGGCCUGCAUUUGAAACUGUUUGUCUUGAGUACGGGAGAGGCAGGCGGAAUGCCUGGGGUAGCGGUGAAAUGCGUAGAGAUUGGGAGGAACACCAGUGGCGAAGGCAGUCUGCUGGACAGCAACUGACGCUGAGGCGCGAAAGCGUGGGGAGCGAACAGGAUUAGAUACCCUUGUAGUC